CGCGAAAUCCGGUUGAUCCUGCCGGAGGCUACCGCUAUUGGAGUUCGAUUAAGCCAUGCGAGUCGCGAGACUUAGAAUCUCGGCGUACCGCUCAGUAACACGUGGGUAACCUGCCCUAUGCUAGGGGAUAACCUCGGGAAACUGAGAAUAAUACCCUAUAGUUCACCACGCCUGGAACGGUGGGUGGAUGAAAGCUCCGGCGGCAUAGGAUGGGCCUGCGGCGUAUCAGGUCGUAGGGGGUGUAACGUACCCUCUAGCCAUCAACGCGUACGGGUGUUGGGAGACAUAGCCCGGAGAUGGAUUCUGAGACACGAAUCCAGACCCUACGGGGUGCAGCAGGCGCGAAAACUUGGCAAUGCGAGCAAUCGUGACCAGGGAACUCCAAGUGGCUGGGGUAAUACCCAGUUUUUUCUUGACUCUUCAAAGGUCUUGGAAUAAGGGGUGGGUAAGGACGGUGCCAGCCGCCGCGGUAAUACCGGCGCCUCAAGUGGUAGUCGCUUUUAUUGGGCCUAAAACGUCCGUAGCCGGUCUGGUGCAUUCGUGGGUAAAUCAACCCGCUCAACGGGUUGAAUUCUGCGAGCACGGCCAGACUUGGGACCGGGAGAGGUGUGGGGUACUCUCAGGGUAGGGGUAAAAUCCUGUCAUCCUGAGAGGACCACCUGUUGCGAAGGCGCCACACUAGAACGGAUCCGACGGUCAGGGACGAAACCUAGGGGCACGAACCGGAUUAGAUACCCGGGUAGUCCUAGGUGUAAACGCUGUGGACUUGAUGUUGGGAGCGCUCCGAGCGCCCUCAGUGUCGAAGCGAAGGUGAUAAGUCCACUGCCUGGGGAGUACGGUCGCAAGGCUGAAACUUAAAGGAAUUGGCGGGGGAGCACUGCAACCUGAGGAUUGUGCGGUUUAAUUGGAUUCAACGCCGGAAAACUCACCAUAGCCGACGGACAAAUGAAGGCCAGCGUAACGAGCUUGCUGGAUUGUUCGAGAGGUAUUGCAUGGCCGUCGUCAGUUCGUACCGCAAGGCGUUCUGUUAAGUCAGAUAACGAACGAGACCCUCGUCCCUAUUUGCCAAGGUCUGUCCGCAGAUCACGGGACUAUAGGGAGACCGCUGGCGCGAAGUCAGAGGAAGGUGCAGGCUACGGUAGGUCUGUAUGCUCCGAAUCUGCUGGGCUACACGCGCGCAACAAUGGUAAAGACAAUGGGAUGCGACACCGAAAGGUGAAGCUAAACCUCGAAACUUCAUCCAAGUCUAGAUUGUGGAUUGUAAUUCAUCCUCAUGACAACGGAAUCCCUAGUAAUCGGGUUUCAUCACGACCCGGUGAAUAUGUCCCUGCUCCUUGCACACACCGCCCGUCAAACCAACCGAGUUAUGUAGGGGUGAAGCCCUUUUUGGGAAGAACCUUUUCACGACAAGGUAGGUUAAGUCGUCACAAGGUAUCUGUAGGGGAACCUGCAGAUGGAUCACCUCCUAA
rnacentral:rRNA from 1 species